UACAGAGGUGGCAAGCGUUGUUCGGAAUUACUGGGCGUAAAGGGCGCGUAGGCGGCCAUCUAAGUCAGACGUGAAAUCCCCCGGCUUAACCUGGGAACUGCGUCUGAUACUGGAAGGCUUGAAUCCGGGAGAGGGAUGUGGAAUUCCAGGUGUAGCGGUGAAAUGCGUAGAUAUCUGGAGGAACACCGGUGGCGAAGGCGGCAUCCUGGACCGGCAUUGACGCUGAGGCGCGAAAGCCAGGGGAGCAAACGGG
rnacentral:rRNA from 1 species